GAUGAACGCUGGCGGCGUGCUUAACACAUGCAAGUCGAGCGAGAAGUUUUGAAAAGAUUCUUCGGAUGAAAUUUAAAAUGGAAAGCGGCGGACGGGUGAGUAACGCGUAGGCAACCUGCCCCAUACAAAGGGAUAGCAUUUGGAAACGAAUAUUAAUACCUUAUGAAACUUAACUAGUGCAUGCUAGGUAGGUCAAAGAUUUAUCGGUAUGGGAUGGGCCUGCGUCUGAUUAGCUAGUUGGUGAUGUAACGGCUCACCAAGGCGACGAUCAGUAGCCGACCUGAGAGGGUGAACGGCCACAUUGGAACUGAGACACGGUCCAAACUCCUACGGGAGGCAGCAGUGGGGAAUAUUGCACAAUGGGGGAAACCCUGAUGCAGCAACGCCGCGUGAACGAUGAAGGCCUUUGGGUCGUAAAGUUCUGUUCUAGGUGAUGAAAACUGACAGUAACCUAGGAGAAAGCCCCGGCUAACUCCGUG
rnacentral:rRNA from 1 species